rnacentral:lncRNA from 1 species
AGCUUUCCUCUAUCAGCACCAUCUCAUCUAUGUUGUAUGUGAAUCAGCAGCACCUAAAAGACAAGAAGCAGUGUGCUUUGGAAUACACUUUCAGGCUUUAUAUCUUUUCACACCAGUGGACAGUCCAACAUGCCUUAAGUGAUUGUUCAGAACACUUUAUAAAAAGAAAAAUAAAUCAGCUGACUGAAAUUUUACUGAGAGGCAUAGAGAGAAGAAAACCAAACAAAGUUAGCCGUAUCAGAGGGAAGCAAGUUCAUUUUUCCCCACUAAAGAACUAUCUCCCAGCUCACACCUGGUGGAAAGAUUGUGAGUUUCAGCGCUGCAGAUGAAUGUUUCUGGCCCGGAAUGAUUUCACCUAUCUGAAAAGGGAGUUAAGUGUUUGUCAAUUUUGUCUAAACUGCCAGGUUUUCCUAGAAAUAGUGUUCCAGGUUUUCAUAAGCCUGGAGACAUUUUUGUCAUUUCAACCUCGUUUAGUUUAUUAUAUCCUGCCAGCCAUGUCUAGAUAAACUGUAAUGAAGGCUGCUGCCUCCAUUAUAAACCCACAUCUACUCUAUCAACAAGCUUUCAGUACCAUGACCAUUAUAAAAACUCUAAAAUUUGAUCUGCCAUUGAUGAUAGGCAAGUUUCAAUUUGUGGCUACUAGCCUGCACAAAAUGAUCUACAAAUGGCACGUUGCAGGCUGUUAUUUUGUAUCCUGCAGGAUGGUGUGAAAGUCCUCUCCCUUCCCUUCAAGGUGAAGGUCAUUUCACCAGAUCAGAAAUUGUUAUUGCUGUAACUGACAUGGGGAACUAUACCAGAAGCUUAAUUUAAAAUAAAAAUAGAGGCAGUAGAAUAAUGCUGCA